GUUGCGAGGAUAAGUCGCUGAACGCGGAAAGUGAACUCAACCAACGCAGCGAACAGUGGAGGCAAACUAAGCUGAACUGAACUGAACUGGACUGUGCCAGGCAGUGUAGCAGCAGCAACAACACUUUAUGUGUGAGCCAGUAUCCUGUGCAGUGUACCUGUUAGUGUAGUGUGACUGUAUUGGUGUGCUGCCAAUGACGGGCGACAGGUGUUGGUGAUAUGCGAUUAACGGGACAAGCUUAUAUAUCUAUAUAUAUAUAUAUAUACAAUACUUGUUCAGAUAUAAAAUUGUACUUCUUUGAAAAUUUUGUUAGAAAGUGAUGUUAGUGUUGGUGCAAUGUGUGGGUGUGUAUGACUUAAAGGUGUGUAGGUAAGCGAAAGGCUUGCCCGAAGGAGUGCUUUUUAAUGUCUAUCCAUAUAUAUUCUUUUAUUAGCGAGUGACUAAGUGUUGUGAGAUAAUGAACGAUAAUAAACCGCCUACAGCUAUUGAAAUUAAGUUGAAGAAACAGUGAAAUAAAGUUGCGUAUAUACAUACAUACAUAGUUUGUAAAAACAGUGAGCAAUGCUUAUAAGGUUUUUCGUGGACUAAGUUAAAAAGUGAAAAACUUAAAAAAAUAGCUGAGUACUUUAGCGUAUAGCAGAAAUAAAUGAACUGUUAAAGAUUUUAAGAUACUAAAAAUAAUUAAUAAAAAUAUUGUUGUGAAAUAUUAAGAUAUACUAAAUACUGUUGAUUGUUGUUAAAAGUGAAAUUUUUAAAAUUACUGUUAGAAAUAGAAAUAAUGAACACAUAUCGGAAGAGUGAAUAUUGUGUGAACACUGGUCAAUAAGAAUUUCGAAUAAGCAUUAUCAUGAAAUGUAAUGAAAUACAUACAAACCACAGCGUAGCAAAACGUAACAACUGAAUUGAAAUUUGUAAAUAAUUAAUUUAAUCGGCAGCUGCAGGUAUACCACAAACUAUCACUGGCAGUAGAAUUCACUAAAUGCAGCCACCAUUUCACCAUGUAAUUGUCAGAAUGGAACACUUUACUGACACUUUUGAUCUACCAAUUGCACAACAUUAGAGCCGAGUGCUUGCCCCUAAUUUUCAGCUGCUUGGAUUUUUUGCUCUUUAGCGUGGUUAAUUUUCAAUUGAG